AAUGCAGUCGAGCGGACAGAAGGGAGCUUGCUCCCGGAUGUUAGCGGCGGACGGGUGAGUAACACGUGGGUAACCUGCCUGUAAGACUGGGAUAACUCCGGGAAACCGGAGCUAAUACCGGAUAGUUCCUUGAACCGCAUGGUUCAAGGAUGAAAGACGGUUUCGGCUGUCACUUACAGAUGGACCCGCGGCGCAUUAGCUAGUUGGUGAGGUAACGGCUCACCAAGGCGACGAUGCGUAGCCGACCUGAGAGGGUGAUCGGCCACACUGGGACUGAGACACGGCCCAGACUCCUACGGGAGGCAGCAGUAGGGAAUCUUCCGCAAUGGACGAAAGUCUGACGGAGCAACGCCGCGUGAGUGAUGAAGGUUUUCGGAUCGUAAAGCUCUGUUGUUAGGGAAGAACAAGUGCAAGAGUAACUGCUUGCACCUUGACGGUACCUAACCAGAAAGCCACGGCUAACUACGUGCCAGCAGCCGCGGUAAUACGUAGGUGGCAAGCGUUGUCCGGAAUUAUUGGGCGUAAAGGGCUCGCAGGCGGUUUCUUAAGUCUGAUGUGAAAGCCCCCGGCUCAACCGGGGAGG
rnacentral:rRNA from 2 species